AGUCAUAUUGCUUUUUGUAGUAAGAAGUUGUUUAUAUUAACCACUAAAGUUCACUUUAAGCUAAAUAGUGAACACUGUAUUUGAGUACCUUGAGUGUUUAAUAUGAGGGACUUUUACGUUGUGAACUUUCCUUAUUUAUUUUUAAAAACCUGAUUACAGAAAAGACAUACUGUUAUGGAAACGAAUAUUCUUGGUAGGUAUCUAACUAACCCAUUAAUUUAGUGAAACGAACUAAGCUACUACAAAUGGGCACUACUUUUAUAAGCAAACAUUAGGAAAGUAAUAGGAGAUCAAUAUGUACUAAAUGAAGUAAAGUCGUGGCUUUUCUCGAUUUAGCAGGGACAUGAAAAAUAUUUGAAAACAACCUUUUACGGAUUAACAGGCCACUUCCCGGAUUACACGGGUUGAUUGAAGGAGCCAAGACUGGAGUCAUUGGAAUGACAAGGGAACGCCUUUACUUCGCCGUAAUGCUUGCUAUCCCUGUCUUCGUGACGGUGACCAAAAACGACAAGUGCCCGUCGCCUGUACUUAAAAGGAAAGUCUACGAGGUAUCGCAUCAGUGCCAAAAGAGACCGGGUAUUAUAGGUGUUGUUUGUUUGCGGUUGUUAUAAAUGUGGUGUUAGAAAAAAGUCCAUUCUGGUAAACACAGAGUCGGACGUGGACACGGAAGUCGUUCGUUUUUCUUCAGGAAGGCAACCUAACCGCUAGUAUUUUUAGGAUAGGCAAGAGUAGUUUAUAAAUGUUUUCAAGUAGAUUAUGCCCCGUGUUUCAAGUGUCGAGCGUGAAAGUCGACUACCUUAACCUUCUCAUAAGCUUUCCGAAGAUAUUUUGCAAAGGGCGUAGGAAUAGUUGCCCACUGCAUAGGAUUGAAGGGGAAAAUAAACUGCAAUGACCCUUUGUUGUUAGGACCCGGCUUUGAUGGACUUUUUGAGGAAAUCUAAAUUACUUUGUGUCACCUCCUGUAACAACGCUAUUUUCAUUUUUUAUAAAGUAUCCGUUAAGAGUUUACGCAAAAGACGAACUGAAGUAGAGAGCAUUUGCGCCGGCAUUACUACUCAUAUCGCUGUAGCGUUAAAAUCUUUACGGUUUACUGAAAAGAAGAAUCGGCUUGCAUAGCUCUUGGAGGAGUGAAGAGGUGCAAUAUGUCCGUGAGGGAAAGGUUCUAGUAGAUUCAAAAUCGUCUUUGGAUAAAGUAGUUCAGGAAUUUGAGUGCAAAAUUACUGUUCUCAAUCACCACGCAACCAUUAAAGUUGGCUACCAGGUAGUUAAGAUUGACUUAGACGGCAGUUUUAUAAUAACAAAGAAUGCACGCAAGCACCAUAAGGCAAGCUGUGACACUGGCCGCCGUAGGGAAAGGGUAUCUAGGAGCGGUGAUAUCUCAUUAGGAAAGUUACGGUUGCUGCGUAGGCCAGAGUAUUUGAGUGUUAAUCAAAAGAUAGUUCUCAGAUACGGGUACACUAAAGCUGCGGGCACGGUGCACCUACUUGUCGCUUAUCUUGACCGACCUUUAAUUAUUAUAUUAGAUGGCCAAAC